rnacentral:rRNA from 1 species
UACGAAGGGGGCUAGCGUUGCUCGGAAUCACUGGGCGUAAAGGGUGCGUAGGCGGGUCUUAAGUCAGGGGUGAAAUCCUGGAGCUCAACUCCAGAACUGCCUUUGAUACUGAGGAUCUUGAGUUCGGGAGAGGUGAGUGGAACUGCGAGUGUAGAGGUGAAAUUCGUAGAUAUUCGCAAGAACACCAGUGGCGAAGGCGGCUCACUGGCCCGAUACUGACGCUGAGGUGCGAAAGCGUGGGGAGCAAACAGG